CCUACGGGUGGCUGCAGUGAGGAAUAUUGGUCAAUGGCCGAGAGCCUGAACCAGCCAAGUCGCGUGAGGGAAGAAUGUCCUAUGGAUUGUAAACCUCUUUUGUCGGGGAGCAAAAGCCCCCACGUGUGGGUUUCCGAGAGUACCUGAAGAAAAAGCAUCGGCUAACUCCGUGCCAGCAGCCGCGGUAAUACGGAGGAUGCGAGCGUUAUCCGGAUUUAUUGGGUUUAAAGGGUGCGUAGGCGGGUGAUCAAGUCAGCGGUAAAAUCGAGCGGCUCAACCUCAUCGAGCCGUUGAAACUGGUGUUCUUGAGUGGGCGAGAAGUAUGCGGAAUGCGUGGUGUAGCGGUGAAAUGCAUAGAUAUCACGCAGAACUCCGAUUGCGAAGGCAGCAUACCGGCGCUCAACUGACGCUGAUGCACGAAAGUGUGGGUAUCGAACAGGAUUAGAUACCCUAGUAGUC
rnacentral:rRNA from 1 species